CUUAAAUUUAAAUAAAACAAAAAGAAAAAAAAAUCUAAUUACAAUCAUGCUCCAAAAUAUUUUAAAAAAUGCACAGGACAGGACAACCAGGACGGAAGCCUGACAUAACAAAUAAAUUAUGAAAAAAAAUUAGAAAUUAAAAAAUAAACAAAUUCUUUCUUUCCCCUCCACCACCACUGCACGCAUAUCCAGUUGCUUCUGAUCCUUCAGGUCUCCCAAACACUGGACCUUUUCAUCCUCCUCCAUGGCACUGGGGCUCCUUAAAUCACAAUUAACCAAAGGGAAUCGGAAUGGCGCAUUCGAACAAAAAGAUUCGUAAUAGGAACGAAAUAAUGGGCCAAUGUUAAUAAUACAUUAAUACUCAAGCUCUUGGGCUAAAAAGUUUUAUCAGUAAUGCAGUACUGAAAAGCUUUGUAUUCGUGAGUACGAAUUAAUUGAUCUUAAAUCGGCAUCUUCAAGAGAAGAAAGAAGAGGAUGUGAAAGGGAUGAAAUUUUCUGGGGUGAAUGAAUGAGAAAUGGAGGAGGAAAGAGCGCGAGUAGCGGUGGAGUGAUUGGAGUCUGUAAGAAAAGGGCGAAGAGCGGUUUUACGACGGGCGAAGAACCAGUCGAGAAGGGUGG
rnacentral:lncRNA from 1 species